UGGGGAAUCUUGGACAAUGGGGGCAACCCUGAUCCAGCCAUGCCGCGUGAGUGAUGAAGGCCUUAGGGUCGUAAAGCUCUUUCGCCUGUGAAGAUAAUGACGGUAGCAGGUAAAGAAACCCCGGCUAACUCCGUGCCAGCAGCCGCGGUAAUACGGAGGGGGUUAGCGUUGUUCGGAAUUACUGGGCGUAAAGCGCACGUAGGCGGACCAGAAAGUUGGGGGUGAAAUCCCGGGGGCUCAACCCCGGAACUGCCUCCAAAACUAUUGGUCUAGAGUUCGAGAGAGGUGAGUGGAAUUCCAAGUGUAGAGGUGAAAUUCGUAGAUAUUUGGAGGAACACCAGUGGCGAAGGCGGCUCACUGGCUCGAUACUGACGCUGAGGUGCGAAAGUGUGGGGAGCAAAACAGGAUUAGAUACCCCUGGUAGUCCACACCGUAAAACGAUGAAUGCCAGUCGUCGGGUAGCAUGCUAUUCGGUGACACACCUAACGGAUUAAGCA
rnacentral:rRNA from 1 species